rnacentral:lncRNA from 1 species
GAGGAAUAAUCUCACUUCUCCUCAAGGCUCUUCUGAUCAAUCAGGAUACAUAGAUGGGAUAGGGAUGCCUAGAGGAGUCCCAGAGGAGUUUAAAGCUAGGAACCAGACAGCAACCACAUUUGAAUCCUUCUAUUGGUGGAUCAUCAUAAACAAGAAAGUAGACUGAAUCAAUUAUAUUUAUUAUAACCAACAGAGGAUAAAUUACACCCAAGACAAGGGCUUGUCUCAACAAUUAAAUGCUACCAGUUGAAUGUCAUGGAGAAACAGAUUACUUUUAAACAGGAUGUUUACUAAAGAGGGCAAUGUCUGUGGCAUGUUAGGGGGGAGAUGUUGCACCUACAUUCCUAAUAGCACUGCAUCAGAUGAGUAAGUAACCAAAACUGUCCAGGGACUAAUUACCCUUCAGAAGAAUUAACCAGAAAUUCAGGAAUAGAUAUUGGCUCCUGGACCAGCUGAUUUGAUUCAGUUUUCUCAGGACCCUAGACAAGGUUUAUAUCAAUGAUAUUUGGGAGUAAAUGAGGAAUACUUUGAUUUGGAAAAAGAAGCUGAAGCAAUCAUCCAACAAUAGAAGGAGAAAUCACAGUAAAUAUUUAGGCAGAUACUCCCAAUAUCCUCCAGGUGAAAGCUGUGAAAGCUCCAGUUUAACACCUCAAUUAGCUCAAUUAGGAAAAGGAUGA